GAUGAACGCUAGCGGCAGGCCUAAUACAUGCAAGUCGGACGGGAUUUGGGAGCUUGCUCCCAAUGAGAGUGGCGCACGGGUGCGUAACACGUAUGUAACCUACCUUAAUCAGGGGGAUAGCCUCUCGAAAGAGAGAUUAACACCGCAUAACAUAUUUUUAUGGCAUCGUAGAAAUAUCAAAUAUUUAUAGGAUUAAGAUGGGCAUGCGGAACAUUAGCUAGUUGGUAAGGUAACGGCUUACCAAGGCUACGAUGUUUAGGGGAUCUGAGAGGAUGACCCCCCACACUGGUACUGAGACACGGACCAGACUCCUACGGGAGGCAGCAGUAAGGAAUAUUGGUCAAUGGGCGCAAGCCUGAACCAGCCAUGCCGCGUGCAGGAAGACGGCCCUAUGGGUUGUAAACUGCUUUUGUACCGGAAUAAACCCUUUUACGUGUAAAAGGCUGAAUGUACGGUAAGAAUAAGGAUCGGCUAACUCCGUGCCAGCCGCCGCCGUAA
rnacentral:rRNA from 1 species